rnacentral:rRNA from 1 species
AUGUGCGAAGAAGAAGGCUGCCUCCAGCAAAUGCGCUAUGGUUGCUCGAACCAACACCUUUGUCCUGUUCAGUGUCUCCGGUCUUUGCAUCAUCAGCUGCUACCGUUCCUCGGCUUGUGCAUAUGUCGAUGUGACCGUCCAUUCGUACGUCGACGUGUUCCGGAGUUCGCCAUGUUUGCUUGCUGCUGUUUGUUCCAAGUGUGCUAUCCUUUUACUCGCUCUAUGUACUCAUGUAUGUAUGGAUGCAUGUGGAGAAUUUGUAAAUCAAGAAUUGGUAUCGUUUAUGAGAUUUUAUUUUACUUGCAAAGAAAGAGGUUCCACAGCUUCCAUUAA